rnacentral:misc_RNA from 1 species
GAUGAAGAACGCAGCGAAAUGCGAUACGUAGUGUGAAUUGCAGAAUUCAGUGAAUCAUCGAAUCUUUGAACGCACAUUGCGCCCCUUGGUAUCCCGAGGGGCAUGCCUGUUCGAGCGUCAUUUCACCACUCAAGCCUGGCUUGGUGUUGGGCGACGUCCCCUUUGGGGACGCGCCUCGAAACGCUCGGCGGCGUGGCACCGGCUUUAAGCGUAGCAGAAUCUUUCGCUUUGGAAGUCGGGGCCCCGUCUGCCGGAAGACCUACUCGCAAGGUUGACCUCGGAUCAGGCAGGGAUACCCGCUGAACUUAAGCAUAUCAAUAAGCGGAGGA